AGGACGAACGCUGGCGGCGUGCUUAACACAUGCAAGUCGAGCGAGGUCCCGCCUUCGGGUGGGUGUCCUAGCGGCGAACGGGUGAGUAACACGUGGGCAACCUGCCCUCAGCUCUGGGAUAACUCCAAGAAAUUGGGGCUAAUACCGGAUAUGACCGCUGACCGCAUGGUCUGGUGGUGGAAAGAUUUAUCGGCUGGGGGAUGGGCCCGCGGCCUAUCAGCUUGUUGGUGGGGUAGUGGCCUACCAAGGCGACGACGGGUA
rnacentral:rRNA from 1 species